UGUGAUAUGUCCGUUUUGUUCGGUUUAUUAUUUACACAAUAUAAAUCUUAAAUAAAAACAUGUUUUAUAUAUUUCAAUAAUAGAUUGUAUCGCUGAUAUGCAUAGUACAAUAUAUUACGACGUCAAAAUAGAUUUUUCUUUAAAAAUUGUGUAAAAUGAACCCAAAGUAAUAUAUUUUCGCGACGACAUAAAAAAACAACAAUCGUGAAUCGUAACAAAAAAGACGUCUAACGUGUAAAAAAGAAGCAGCAAAAAAGAAAAAAGUUGUACGUAGAGUGUAGUUACAUUGACUGCCAGUGAGUAAACACUACAGCGUUUGGUAAAACCCACAGUCAAUGACAAUGGGGAAAAUGGACCUGGAAAAGUGGAAUACUUGUUGUCAACAUAAAACUUGAAACAGCAAUGGUGGACAGCCUGGGUGGACCAUCCGGUGUAUACAAUAUCCUGUCCACAUUUAACCUCAAAACAAAAUCGGACACCAACUUAAAAAUAAUGGAACAGCCAGCUGGUGAGGUGAUAGAGCAAGUUGCGACUGAAUCAGCUAGAAUUGAAGCUAGCGAUGCUAUCUUAAAUGAAAUAACUUGAAGGAAGGGAGCUCCUGCAGGUUACUCAUAUGCAUCGGUGGAAGUCCAGUCUGGUAGUCAGUUCGCAACAUACUUCACGCCAACUGUUCCAAUAAGUCAAGAGGGUUUACAAGUUACAGGCAUUUCAAUGACUGAUGGGACAAUGACAUUCAUUGGAUAAGUUGUGCAGCCUGUGUCGUGACAAUGACAUUCAUUGGAUAAGUUGAGCAGCCAGUGUCAAUAUGAGUGGCUGUCGAAAGAAUUAUACAUUGGGUUGAAAAGUUUCGAAAUUUGUGCUUAGUUGUUCAUAAUGUUCGUCGAUUGAUUUAACAAUUUUUGUUUAAAUCUUGGCAAAUGUAAGUGCAAUUGAUAUUUUGUAUAACUGUGCUUUUAUCGAUUCGCUAUCAAUAUUCGGAAAAUUAUAUCCAAAGCAGUCCUUGAAGCAAGUUGAUUUAGUUUUAGGCUUGCCAAGAGUCACUUAUUCUAAAAAAGUAUUACAUGAAAUUGUUCUAAAACUAUGUAAGUACUUAAAGGAAUGAUUUUAAAGAAAAUUUCAAUUACAUGUUUUAUUUUAGUGCCUUCAGUAGUUUUUCAGUAAUUACAGGAGUCAGAUUGUUCGCAUUUCUUUAUUUAUUUUUAAGUUACAGUGAUUUCAACUAAGGUAAGGAAUAUGGUACUGCAUAAUCUCCAUAAUGCCCUUUGUAAGUGCACAAAAUUUCAUCAAAGCACCCUUAGUACUUUCUGAGUUAUCGUUGGAUCCAUUUUGUGUGAUUUUUUGUUUCUAUGUUUAGUAACAGUGACCUGAUCAAUCACAUAAGGUGAAAAAUGAAGGGUUGUACUUAAUCCCUACAUUCCCUUUUAUAUGCAUGCCAAGUUUCAUCAAAUUUGCUUGAGUAUUAACUAUUUGUAACUAACUGCAGGGUAUAGUGUAGAAAGCCAUAUCCAUGUCAAAGGAACUUAUAAGUAUAUGCUUAUUUAGCUUUGUUGUGAAAUUUUGCAUUAAUAUUUUUGUUUAUACAUUGUUAUUAAAUUAAUACAAGCUUGUUAGGUAUGUGGUCAUAAUAAUUUAAAUCUAACAAUGUUAUAGAUCUUGGUUAAGAGAGAAAAAUACUUAGUUUAAAACUUUGUAAUUUUGUUUCACUUUUCAGACCUACUCAUGCCUCCACCCCCCACCCCCACCCCCACCUCACCAACGCCAUCCCUACCCUACAUUUGGCUUAUUUAGCAUUAUUGCAUAAUGUAUUAAAUAUAUGUAUAAAGAAAGUAAGAACAUUGAAGGUGUUAACUGAAUUGGUAAAUGAUUCUGUUUAUUUUGCAUAUUUUGACCAUUUGCCAUUAUGUGGUUUUGAAUUUUUUGAAAAAUCUUUCUAAUAGUCCUAUUAGAUGUUAGUGAAUUGUUCAAAAUAUACACGGGCAAAUUGCUUUUUUUAUUUUGAUUUAAGCUAAUCACAUGUCUUUGCUAAAAUAUAAAUGCUCAAAGUCAAAAGAAAUAACCUACAACUUAUAAAAAAAGAAAAAAAAUAUGGGUGAUUUUUGCAUACACGAGUCGAACUUGUAGUUUUGAAGGACCGUACAUAAUAUUCAGAUUUGUUUCAUUAUUGUUAUCACUCAAUUGUCUUGUAUUAUAUUAUGUUAUCAUCUGCAAUCAUAUCCUGUACUAUAUAUACAAACAUUGUUAACAAACAUUGCUUAAAA